rnacentral:tRNA from 1 species
GGGGAUAGAGGGACUUGAACCAA